GCCAUGACUCCUCUGCCACCAACAGCACCCAUGAGUGAAUGACAGCUUCUCGACGGCUUCAUUAAGACCACAGAUGGCGGAUGAAGCAAAGAUGAGCUAGAACAAAUGUAACGCUGGCGAAAUGUGAGGGAAGCUGCAGGACCUUUUCACAGCUUGUGCGUCUGGCUUGCGUCCAAGAAGCCUAUACCCGCAACCCGUCCUCCCGUUCUAAAAUCUGUGUUUGGCAGUCGACCCAUCACGCCGUCCUUCGUUCACCCUCGGACAGCAACUGUCAUCCCUCCCCCGCCCGCCGCCUUCCUACCUGCAGGACUUGAGCUCAUUGUUUUUGCCCUGCUGAUUAACCUCUACCCGCCCUGAAGGAAUGUCUCACAUUGGGUUCUGGAUGAAUACGGGCUGAGCCGGCACCAAAACAGGACCAGCUUUUUCUGAUGAGUUCCAGCCGCUUGGGCCCUGGGCGAGCCAGCUGGCUGUGAUUGGCAGCUGCUAAGGAGGGUAGUGCGGCUGUUAGAGGAAGAAAAACGAGUUUACGCUCCACAAUUAGCAACGAGAGAGAGGGGCCCUAUAUGACUGAUUGAAAUUGUGUCCAAACCUCAAUGUUUCAAAUGUCCUAGUGGUUAAAGCUGCGUGACAACACAGAAGUGUACUGAAG
ensembl:lncRNA